AUUGAGUCCAUGGAGCGAGCUGAGAGCUAGAGUACAGAACCUGCUAAGGCCAUCAAACCUAUCGAUCGGAAGUCAGUCCAUCAGAUUUGCUCUGGGCCGGUGGUACUGAGUCUAAGCACUGCGGUGAAGGAGUUAGUAGAAAACAGUCUGGAUGCUGGUGCCACCAAUAUUGAUCUAAAGCUUAAGGACUAUGGAGUGGAUCUCAUUGAAGUUUCAGACAAUGGAUGUGGGGUAGAAGAAGAAAACUUUGAAGGCUUAAUCUCUUUCAGCUCUGAAACAUCACACAUGUAAGAUUCAAGAGUUUGCCAACCUAACUGAGGUUGAAACUUUCGGCUUUCAGGGGGAAGCUCUGAGCUCACUGUGUGCACUGAGCGAUGUCACCAUUUCUACCUGCCACGCAUCGGCGAAGGUUGGGACUCGACUGGUGUUUGAUCACGAUGGGAAAAUCAUCCAGAAAACCCCCUACCCCCACCCCAGAGGGACCACAGUCAGCGUGAAGCAGUUAUUUUCUACACUACCUGUGCACCAUAAGGAAUUUCAAAGGAAUAUUAAGAAGGAUGGCCGUAUAAGAAAAUAAACAACUUGCUAAAACUGCUGAAACUCCCUCUGCUUGUGAGAUUUAAAAAAACUGGCUGAAAUUGGUUGGAACCAACAUGUCCAAUGGAGUCUGAAUAGAAAGAGCUUGCUGACAUCACAGCCCGAAUUUCCACCACAUUUCAUACUAACUCCCCCUGAAUUUGCAUAUGCAAACCACAAGCAAGCAUGAUCAAACAGACAACUGCGCGUGUCCGAGGACUUUCCAGAUCUCCCCUUUCCUUCCACCAAUCACUUACUAAUCUGAGAAUCCAUCCCCUAAUAAAAUCACUGCCUUAAAGCCUGCACAGGAAGACAAAUUUGA
ensembl:lncRNA PMS2P4 PMS1 homolog 2, mismatch repair system component pseudogene 4